UACAGAGACGUCGAGCGUUGUUCGGAUUCAUUGGGCGUAAAGGGUGCGUAGGCGGUGAGGUAAGUCGGAUGUGAAAUCCCAAAGCUUAACUUUGGAAGUGCAUCCGAAACUCCCUCGCUGGAGGACUGGAAGGGAGACUGGAAUUCUCGGUGUAGCGGUGAAAUGCGUAGAUAUCGAGAGGAACACCUGUGGCGAAGGCGGGUCUCUGGACAGUUCCUGACGCUGAGGCACGAAAGCCAGGGGAGCAAACGGG
rnacentral:rRNA from 1 species